rnacentral:rRNA from 1 species
AGCGUACACGGUGGAUGCCCUGGCAGUCAGAGGCGAUGAAGGACGUGCUAAUCUGCGAUAAGCGUCGGUAAGGUGAUAUGAACCGUUAUAACCGGCGAUUUCCGAAUGGGGAAACCCAGUGUGAUUCGUCACACUAUCAUUAACUGAAUCCAUAGGUUAAUGAGGCGAACCGGGGGAACUGAAACAUCUAAGUACCCCGAGGAAAAGAAAUCAACCGAGAUUCCCCCAGUAGCGGCGAGCGAACGGGGAGCAGCCCAGAGCCUGAAUCAGUGUGUGUGUUAGUGGAAGCGUCUGGAAAGGCGCGCGAUACAGGGUGACAGCCCCGUACACAAAAAUGCACAUGCUGUGAGCUCGAUGAGUAGGGCGGGACACGUGGUAUCCUGUCUGAAUAUGGGGGGACCAUCCUCCAAGGCUAAAUACUCCUGACUGACCGAUAGUGAACCAGUACCGUGAGGGAAAGGCGAAAAGAACCCCGGCGAGGGGAGUGAAAAAGAACCUGAAACCGUGUACGUACAAGCAGUGGGAGCACAGAGCAAUCUGUGUGACUGCGUACCUUUUGUAUAAUGGGUCAGCGACUUAUAUUCUGUAGCAAGGUUAACCGAAUAGGGGAGCCGAAGGGAAACCGAGUCUUAACUGGGCGUUAAGUUGCAGGGUAUAGACCCGAAACCCGGUGAUCUAGCCAUGGGCAGGUUGAAGGUUGGGUAACACUAACUGGAGGACCGAACCGACUAAUGUUGAAAAAUUAGCGGAUGACUUGUGGCUGGGGGUGAAAGGCCAAUCAAACCGGGAGAUAGCUGGUUCUCCCCGAAAGCUAUUUAGGUAGCGCCUCGUGAAUUCAUCUCCGGGGGUAGAGCACUGUUUCGGCAAGGGGGUCAUCCCGACUUACCAACCCGAUGCAAACUGCGAAUACCGGAGAAUGUUAUCACGGGAGACACACGGCGGGUGCUAACGUCCGUCGUGAAGAGGGAAACAACCCAGACCGCCAGCUAAGGUCCCAAAGUCAUGGUUAAGUGGGAAACGAUGUGGGAAGGCCCAGACAGCCAGGAUGUUGGCUUAGAAGCAGCCAUCAUUUAAAGAAAGCGUAAUAGCUCACUGGUCGAGUCGGCCUGCGCGGAAGAUGUAACGGGGCUAAACCAUGCACCGAAGCUGCGGCAGCGACGCUUAUGCGUUGUUGGGUAGGGGAGCGUUCUGUAAGCCUGUGAAGGUGUACUGUGAGGUAUGCUGGAGGUAUCAGAAGUGCGAAUGCUGACAUAAGUAACGAUAAAGCGGGUGAAAAGCCCGCUCGCCGGAAGACCAAGGGUUCCUGUCCAACGUUAAUCGGGGCAGGGUGAGUCGACCCCUAAGGCGAGGCCGAAAGGCGUAGUCGAUGGGAAACAGGUUAAUAUUCCUGUACUUGGUGUUACUGCGAAGGGGGGACGGAGAAGGCUAUGUUGGCCGGGCGACGGUUGUCCCGGUUUAAGCGUGUAGGCUGGUUUUCCAGGCAAAUCCGGAAAAUCAAGGCUGAGGCGUGAUGACGAGGCACUACGGUGCUGAAGCAACAAAUGCCCUGCUUCCAGGAAAAGCCUCUAAGCAUCAGGUAACAUCAAAUCGUACCCCAAACCGACACAGGUGGUCAGGUAGAGAAUACCAAGGCGCUUGAGAGAACUCGGGUGAAGGAACUAGGCAAAAUGGUGCCGUAACUUCGGGAGAAGGCACGCUGAUACGUAGGUGAAGUCCCUCGCGGAUGGAGCUGAAAUCAGUCGAAGAUACCAGCUGGCUGCAACUGUUUAUUAAAAACACAGCACUGUGCAAACACGAAAGUGGACGUAUACGGUGUGACGCCUGCCCGGUGCCGGAAGGUUAAUUGAUGGGGUCAGCGCAAGCGAAGCUCUUGAUCGAAGCCCCGGUAAACGGCGGCCGUAACUAUAACGGUCCUAAGGUAGCGAAAUUCCUUGUCGGGUAAGUUCCGACCUGCACGAAUGGCGUAAUGAUGGCCAGGCUGUCUCCACCCGAGACUCAGUGAAAUUGAACUCGCUGUGAAGAUGCAGUGUACCCGCGGCAAGACGGAAAGACCCCGUGAACCUUUACUAUAGCUUGACACUGAACAUUGAGCCUUGAUGUGUAGGAUAGGUGGGAGGCUUUGAAGUGUGGACGCCAGUCUGCAUGGAGCCGACCUUGAAAUACCACCCUUUAAUGUUUGAUGUUCUAACGUGGACCCGUGAUCCGGGUUGCGGACAGUGUCUGGUGGGUAGUUUGACUGGGGCGGUCUCCUCCUAAAGAGUAACGGAGGAGCACGAAGGUUGGCUAAUCCUGGUCGGACAUCAGGAGGUUAGUGCAAUGGCAUAAGCCAGCUUGACUGCGAGCGUGACGGCGCGAGCAGGUGCGAAAGCAGGUCAUAGUGAUCCGGUGGUUCUGAAUGGAAGGGCCAUCGCUCAACGGAUAAAAGGUACUCCGGGGAUAACAGGCUGAUACCGCCCAAGAGUUCAUAUCGACGGCGGUGUUUGGCACCUCGAUGUCGGCUCAUCACAUCCUGGGGCUGAAGUAGGUCCCAAGGGUAUGGCUGUUCGCCAUUUAAAGUGGUACGCGAGCUGGGUUUAGAACGUCGUGAGACAGUUCGGUCCCUAUCUGCCGUGGGCGCUGGAGAACUGAGGGGGGCUGCUCCUAGUACGAGAGGACCGGAGUGGACGCAUCACUGGUGUUCGGGUUGUCAUGCCAAUGGCACUGCCCGGUAGCUAAAUGCGGAAGAGAUAAGUGCUGAAAGCAUCUAAGCACGAAACUUGCCCCGAGAUGAGUUCU